rnacentral:lncRNA from 1 species
GGAAAAUAAUGAAAAUGAGGCUUGCAAGAAAGGUUGGAGCCCAGAUUGUGAAGGGUUUUAAAAGUUAAACAGAGUAGUUUGUGCUUUUUCCUAGAGGCAACAGGAAGCUACCAAGUAGAUGUAGAGAAUCUUCACAUUAAGGAAGAGGAUGUCCAAUACAGAGAGGAGGCCACAGGAAUGUUCAAGUUAAAAUAGGCUGGCAAAUUGUGUGACUGUGCCAAUGAUGACAAGAAAACAAUCUGGAAGAUGUGGUUUCUGUUAACUGCUAAGCAAGCGAAAUGCAGAUGCUUAUUCAGAGCUCUGCAUUUUGGAAAAUCGCACCUGACGUGAACAGAACUUGUCAUUUGGCCUGCGUUCCCCAUUGUUCCUUUCAGAGUCAAUUUUCAAGGCUGCAAGCAGUGGAGAACCCCACUUUUCCAGAGGAUGUUACUUUUGAUUCUACUCCUGAAGGAUUGUGUCUUCCCUGCAGGCGAUGCAAAAUAUUACCGAUCCUGAACCUGGAGGGAAAACUGCACAAUUCCUGCAGCAUAAUCUAAGACAUUCCCCCUGGAUCUGCCUGCACGUACAAAUACACUUCAGUAAGUAGCCCUCUGCCAGGGUCACUGAAACUCAGAUGCACAGCAGCAAGAAAUCCUCCCACUCUCAUUUCUGUUUGUGACCCAACCUUCCCC